rnacentral:rRNA from 1 species
UACGUAGGGACCGAGCGUUGUCCGGAUUUAUUGGGCGUAAAGAGCGUGUAGGCGGCCAGGUAGGUCUGCUGUGAAAACUCGAGGCUCAACCUCGAGACGUCGGCGGAAACCAUCUGGCUAGAGUCCGGAAGAGGAGAGUGGAAUUCCUGGUGUAGCGGUGAAAUGCGUAGAGAUCGGGAGGAACAUCAGUGGCGAAGGCGGCCAUCUGGGACAACACUGACGCUGAAGCACGAAAGCGUGGGGAGCAAACAGG